CGAACGCUUCUUUUCCCACCGGAGCUUGCUCCACCGGGAAAAGAGGAGUGGCGAACGGGUGAGUAACACGUGGGUAACCUGCCCAUCAGAAGGGGAUAACACUUGGAAACAGGUGCUAAUACCGUAUAACAAUCGAAACCGCAUGGUUUCGUUUUGAAAGGCGCUUUACGGUGCCGCUGAUGGAUGGACCCGCGGUGCAUUAGCUAGUUGGUGAGGUAACGGCUCACCAAGGCCACGAUGCAUAGCCGACCUGAGAGGGUGAUCGGCCACAUUGGGACUGAGACACGGCCCAAACUCCUACGGGAGGCAGCAGUAGGGAAUCUUCGGCAAUGGACGAAAGUCUGACCGAGCAACGCCGCGUGAGUGAAGAAGGUUUUCGGAUCGUAAAACUCUGUUGUUAGAGAAGAACAAGGGUGAGAGUAACUGUUCACCCCUUGACGGUAUCUAACCAGAAAGCCACGGCUAACUACGUGCCAGCA
rnacentral:rRNA from 1 species